GUUAAGAAGUGGUAUUAGCGAUAUUUGACAGAGAACCUUGUUUACUGCCCCUCUGAAUGAGAUCUGGUACUGGCAGGUUGCUGGUGAACCCAGAUAAAAGAGUUUAAUAUGUCUG